CUUCUCUGCGGCCUUCACAUAGCGUACAACUCUUUCGCCUUUUACUAAAAAGUUCCGUGUUUUGGGGGCCGCAUAUGGAGAAUGUCUCCAAUUUUUUCCUAACCUCUG
rnacentral:snRNA from 1 species